rnacentral:lncRNA from 1 species
GCUUCAAAUUGGAUGGCACUGCAGCUGGAGGCUUUGUUCAGAAUUGAUCCUGGGGAGCUACGAACCCAAAGUUUCACAGUAGGAAGGGGGAAAAAAGAAAAGAAAACAUUUUUCCUAAUGUAACAAUGCGAAUGCUAGAAAAUGACAAGACUGAUCGGUUUUAAACCAUUCUGAAGACUGACUGAGCGUGGAAGUUGCUCAACAAAAAAAGGAACGGGUAUAUUGACAGAGUCUUGCUCUAUUGCCCAGGCUGCAACUGGUGUGAUCUCGGCUCACUACAACCUCUGCCUCCUGGGUUCAAGCGAUUCUCCUGCCUCAAGCUCCCAAGUAGCUGGGAUUACAAGCAUGCACCACCAUGCCUGGCUAAUUUUUGUAUUUUUAGUGGAGACGGGGUUUCGCCACAUUGGCCAGGGUGGUCUUGAACUCCUGACCUCAAGUGAUCCACCUGCCUUGGCCUCCCAAAGUGCUGGGAUUAUAAGCAUGAGCCACUGCACCCAGCCUUAUACUGAACUUUCAAUGGGUUCAAUUCCACUAGGAGCAUAAAGGCCACUGCAUAUGAGUUGUGGAAAGAAGAGAUUAGAAGAAGGAAGAACUUGAGAUGAGUUCCUCCCUUCAACAUUCUGUCUCCUCCUACCUAGCAUCUUCUUUCUUUUAGUCUUUCUAGAAUGUCCAUCUGUUUUUGGCCAUUGCGGAGAGAGAAGCUGAGCUUUAAAGGAGUAGGAGCUUCAAAGGCGUAGGAGCUUCAAAAUUCUUGUUUCUUCAUGUUUGAUCACCCUUCUAAACCUGUCUUCUGUUCCUUCUGCUAUUCUUUUUUCUUAGAGCAUAGGAAAGGGGAGCUUUUAAAUUAAUACUUAAAGCAUGGAAAAAAAGAACUUGAGAAGAAAGUAAAACAAGGGAGAUGAGGCUAGUAAAGUAAGGAAAAUGAAGAGGAAGAGGAGGAAGGGUUAGCUUCUAAAUUCCAAGUCAAAUUGAUAUGGAACAGGCAAGCCGCUUGUCUUACUUAAACUUCAGAAAAGGAUCUGCUGAAACUUGAUAGAAAUGGAAAGGGAAAUCCUUGGGGUGGGGAACCUCCAAACAUUAGUAAUGAUAUUGAACAACUCAAAGUAUUGAGGAAAUCUGCAGGCUACAUGCCUGAAGAUUACCCAUGCAGAUAGACCAAAAGGAUUAGAAUUAUCUGUUGAUAUUAGUAAUAUUUAUUGACAUCUAGCUAGUAUUGGUAAUUUUAAGUUUUAGAUUAAUUUCUUUGGUAAUAGCUAUGAUAUAUUUUAUAGACAAGAAUUAUAUCUAUAGGCUUGCUAUCAUAGGCUCUUUUAAUCAGCAUUAAUUUAGUCUACUGAUUUUUAGCACAUUUGAAUCAUUCACUUAUGCUAGGUAACUCAUUGCAAAAUAAAAAGAUGAUUCCUGUAUGUAUGGCAGCUAUACAUUAAGGAGGAGUCUACCAGAAUAUGAAAAAGUCAGCUGACCUAAAUAUUGCUGAGACAAAGGAAAACCCACUCCCUUGGAGGAGCAUGACCUUUUCCUGUAAUUCUUCCCACUGCUGUUGUUGAGCUCCUUGGAUCCUGGCUCCUGGACACCAUCAUCAAGAAGACUUUAUGGAUGGGCUGUCCACCCACUGAGAGAAGAGGAGCAUCAGCUACAGUUUCUCUCUAGAUUGCCUUCUUCAUUUUGAGUAAUGACUGUCAGCAGGGUCAGAUUAAACACAAAACAACUGGACAAUUGCUUGGAGGACUAAACUAUAAGGGCACUAACAUGUCAAUAGUAGGCUAACACAUCCAUGGAAAAUAUAUUUACCAGCUCUUCUCUCAGGGAGGAUUCUGUGUGGGGUUGGAAGUAAUGAUUUGUUAAAUUCCUUAGGGGUAGAAAGUAGGGCAUAAUCAGAAUAUAGAGGAAUAUGCUGUUUGACUUCAGGGUUUCUGUUUUUCUUACUAGGAUAUAUAAAACAGGGACUCUAGCUAGAUUGUUUAUGACCACAGAGGGUAGGCUGAGUGCUCCCAUGAUCUUCCUGCUUGGUUCUUGCCCAUACAGAGGUCAGCCUUUCCUCUAAUAAAGAUUGAACAAGUAGUGGUCUGAGGGAGACACCAAUUCAUUACCCUACAUGUCUCUUCUCUGCACUCCAGGGCUUUGAUAAUAAAGACACUGGCAGACUAUCUAUCUUCCAUUUCUAUAAUGUGAGCCCUUAGGGAGUCUUCGUUCACUUGGGGGUGAGGGUCAUUGCUCACAGAGUAGUUCAAGUCAAAUGGAACUUGAACUCUUUGCCUAUGGGCCUGGUGGUCAGACUCUGUGUUGAGUUCAUUAGAUUAUUGGAGACACAAGGUAGAGCUGGAUGCUUCAAAAAUAUUUGGCUAAAGGAUGACAUUGCUGGUUAUUUGUAGAUAAAGCCAUGAUGGAACCUGCUUGGAAUCAUGAAAUAUGGAACUGGUGGUCAUGUUUAAAAAUACAACUAAUAGUUAAGUACCUACUGGACACUGUAGAGACUUAGGGGCUAGACAGACAUGGUUCCUGCCCCCUUGGAGCUUACACUGUAGCUUCCCCUUAGGUAUGAAGAACAGUGGCUACAACUAACAAAUGGCCACAAAGAUAUAAUUGAGCCAGUGUUCCAAUUAUUAGGGUAAUUCCUAUUUCCUUAAUCAUUCCUAUUGACCAUGUUCUAUAAGCCUGCAUUCUAUAAAUGGCGUAUGACCAUGGGCUGUUUCCCCCCAGCAAGUUGUACAAAGUUCUGUGGUACCAGGGAAAGGGCUUAAGGUUAGCAGGGCCUCUGCGGAAGGACAUAUGAAGUGACUUGGGUUAGGAAACAGGAAGGGAUAGGAUUCAAGAACAGCUAUUGCUUCUGUUCUAUAUAGGAAACUGCAGCGUGAAAAAUGCUGGGCUGGGAAUUUUGAGACCUGGGUUUUAGUUUGUGUUCUAAUACUAACAAGCUAUGUGACUGUGGGUAAGUCAUUUCACAUUCCAUUUGGAUGCCUCUUGAGUGACUCCAGGCCUCUCCAGCUCUAAAACAUUAAGAUCAGGCCCUACGCUACAGCUGGCCAGUGUGUAAUUCUUCUGUUUCUAUGCUGUUAGGUCAAAUAGAUCUUCAAUAGUUACUUGAUUGUUAUUACUUUUUUCUGAAGUGGGUGUUUUAUCAAUGUUUUAGGAUACAGUGAGUCUGCUUCUCCCCUUUGGAGUUAGGAAGGUUGUAGGAAUAUACACUGUAGAGCAUAUGGGAGCUUUAUCCCCUCCUUUUUUCCCCGCUACCUUUCUCCCUCUCCUUCCCUUCAUCACAUUUCUAUUGAGCAUAUGCCAUUGCCGUGUACCAGGUGUGUGCUAGGUUUGGAGAUACAAGGUAAACCUGAGACUUUCCCAGUCUCCAGGAGACAAAACCCUAAUUUCUUUCAUCUGCUGUCUUUCUCUUUGGAAAGAAUCAACGAUAUCCCAGGGGAAUGUGCCCAUGUCCCAGGGUAACCAACUACAGACAGAUGCCCCAUUCUACUCAAGCAACUUUUAGAGUGCCUUGAGAUACACAUCAGAUAAUUAUGCAGGGCCAGGCAUGGUGCUGCACACUUGUAAUCACAGCACUUUGGGAGGCCGAGGCAGCAGAUUGCUUGAGCCCAGGAAUUCAAGUGUAGCCUAGGGAACAUGGCAAAACCCCAGCUCUACAAAAAAAUACACAAAUUAGCUGCGUGUGGUGGCCUAUGACAGGAGGCUGAGAUGGGAGGAUUGCUUGAGCCUGUGAGGUCGAGGCUGCAGUGAGCCGAGAUCAUGCCAUUACUCCAGCCUGGGUGACAUAGGGAGACCCUGUCUUGAAAAAAAAAAAAAAAAGAUAAUUAUUCAGCCCUAGAGUCAUUGUGAAAAGAUCUAUCUUCAGAUAUAAGGAAGAAACAAUCUUUUAUUUCUUAGGAUAAAUCUGUAGAAGGACCUCCAGACAGUGAAGGCCACUGACUACUUUAUACUCUGUAAGCCAUCCCUCCCUGGUAGGAAGGACUAUUUCCAAUCUUACAGAGUACCUCUCAGCAAAUAGACGUUUUCACAUAUACUGUGAUUCAUACAUCCCUAUGGCUGGUGACCUCUUUAAAAAGGAAAGGAAAAAGCCUAAUCAAACAAAAAGAUGCUGCUAGUAAUUCUUACCCUAUUGUGAAUCCUAUAUAAGCAAAUUUGUAUCUUUGUUUUUUCCUACAUUAGCAGAUCUAUUUGAUGUAUAUCUCUGAGUGCAGAAAAUAUUUUAUGGAAAAAUCAAUAUAUGGAAUUUCAAAUUCAGAAUUGCUGAUACACACUAUUUGGUUUCACAAUUUUAUCCUAGGAAAUAGUAUUAGAGAUUUCAAUUUCUGGCUUAAAUGGUAGAAUUAAUUACUCUUAACUCUUAAUUUUACUUCUGAGUUGAGGUCAAGGAACAGGCAGACACCUGCAGUUAACGUCUAUACCUCUCCAUGGCCAAGAGUUUUAAUUUUCUCGUCUUCAAUUUUGUAGAUGUUCAUCAUUACUAAAUGGAUUGAUUAGUAUUUUAUCUCCUCUCCUUGUCCUUACUUUCCCUCUGGUAAAUAUGUUAUAAACAGUGUAAGGCUCCUAAGAUAGAGUAGCUGGUAGGACUUAGAAGAGAAACAAAGGGCACUGAUAACUCACAUAAAUGGAAAAUUGGCUCUGGAAUAACUGACAACAUAUUCAAGUAUUUUAGUGCAGUGUCACUCUCAUUAAGAAGAAGAGAAUCAGUAAAUCUAUGUGACUCUAAACAUUCUAAUGAAAAAAGGAAUAUUCUGCCAAUUAUCUCACAUUUCUAAAUAUCUGGAUAUUGGCCAUUGUAAAGACAAAACAUACAGAUGAUGGACUUGUCUUUCCACCUCUCAUUUGCAUGGUUUGGAGCAUUGUACCUCCAGCCAUAGACUCUAAGGCAAUUUAUAUUUGCUUCCUCUUCCCUCUUGAGAGAAAACGAAAAUCUUAUUUUUCCAAGCAAUUAAAACUCUUCUGCUUCAGCUAGGAUGAAAGAAUUAGGAGUUCUGUCUCCUUGUAUCUAAUUGCAUGUUUCAUCUUUCUUGUUUUAAUGAUUGACAGAAAACUAAUAAACUGAGACAUCUUUGAAUCCAGGUUGAAUGUACUCUCUUGGUGGCCCCAUUGCUAAUUUGUUUGACUAUUUUGCAGGAUUUCUUACUCUGUAAUGGAAAGGUUUAUUAAAUAUGAGGGGUGCAAAGCUUUCUGAAUACUAAUGAACUUAUUUGCCAAAAUUUAAAUGUUCUUCUUGUCAGUGAAUGUCUGUCUCUCUUAACAGGAUCCAAAUUGAAUAAUGAAGAAAAUUAGACUCUAUUGUACCCUCAGGAGAAAUCGUGGUGAAUCGUAAUAGAAUACAGAGGGGGAAAGGGGUCACAUUUUAGAAAAAAAGAGUAGAUAAUUUGGAUUAUUAAAAAAGGGAUUAACUCAGGAAAACUCUGUUCUUUUCAAAGAAACGUACUCAUAGUCAUUCAAUGAGCAGGAUUUCCCACUGCACAAGCAUCUAUACCUUUGGCCAGUGUAGAAAGAGAGUAAGGUCAUAAUCAUAUGGAGAUGCAUGCUAGGUUUCAGUAGUUACAAUUUACUAAUCUCAUUCCCAUAUAAGGCCUUUAUAUGCCUGUAAUGGAAUGGGAAAAUCAAUAAGCUUUGAAAAGGAACACUAUUCUUCAGAGAAGUUCAAUGGGAGAUAGUUGAGUUGGGGAAAUUGCCCCAGUUCUUCCUUUAAGCAUGAAAUGAGGCUGUCCCUAUGUAUGUUUACUUCCAUUGCCUUGGUGUUAUCACUGAUAAAGUCAAUGAUCAUGAUGCCUUUGCCUUGGCAGCACCUGGGGGGCACUGAAGGAACCAAGUAGCUGUACUCAUGGCCAGGAAGGCAGGCUGCCAGAACUUCAGCAGCCACACAAGUGGCCAAACAUGGUCAGGAACGAAAGUAGUGUGUGUAUGGAGUGAAAUGAAAUGAUGAGAGGAAAGUGAAGGAUGAUAUAAAGAUGGGGCUGUCCAAAGAUGGGAGUUCAUCCCUGUCCUGCACUUGAAAUAGGAAGGAAAGAACUGGAGAAGGAUUAGGUGAGGAAGGAUCCUGAAAUAGAGAAAAUAAAGGGAAGACUGCAUGCCUGCAGUGUUUGCUAAAAUUAAUUCGCCUGAGAUUUCAGGAGGAGCAAAGAAAGAUCAAGAGAAAGGGAAAACAGCCUCAAAGCCUGUGAAGGUUGAAAAACAAAAUAUAAACAAAAAAUUUUUAAAGCUAAGAUUAUGCUCUUCUAAGAAAAGAGGCUGGACACUAACAGAAAGCUUGAUGACAGCAGGAUUUGUAUUUAGCGGUUUAUUUAGAUCCCUAAGAAAAAAGGCUUAUGUGACAUAGAUUCAUAAGACACAAAUGUGUCCUUGGCUGACCAUACUAGGCUUCACUCCCAAAGGAGAAAAAGAAUGGUCGGCGCAUCUCAGAUUAACACCAACCAACUGUGCAAUAUUUCAUUUUAGAAAGCGUUUCCUUGUAUUAUCCAUGAUUAAAUAAAAAGAGACCUAGUGUAUUUGAUUGCUUCUGUGGCAAGGCUUGAGAAUUACAAACCUAGGUUUCCCUCUGGGAAUGAUCAUUGGAUUUUUAAAAUUAAGUAAGUGGAAGGAGAUUAAGAUUUAUUUCCAUCAUUUCAAAUCAUGAUCUGCACCUUUGGAAACAAAAAGGAAGUUGGAAAGUGGGAAGGUGAGGUAGGUGUGCAAGAAUGGGGAGAAAGAUGCUGCAAGCCAAAUAAGACUGUAUAAUUUCUGAGAAAAUUAAAUGAACAAUAGAGUUUGAAGGAUAAGUGGGUAAUGAGGAAUAUGAGAUAAUAAGAUAUUAAAAAAUAGCAAAUUACUUGGGAAAGUGAGGAUGAAUGAUGGUAGAUAGUUAAGGGAUUUGGGAUGGCAAGGAAGGGAAGAGAUGACUAGGGUGGGAAACAAAACAUGAUUAAUGGCUGUAAAAGGGCAAGUUUGGACUCUCGAUGGCAUAUCUUCCCAAACUUUGGAGAAUGUGCAGAACUUAGUAAUAAAGAAGGAAAAGAUUAAAAGAGUUCAUGGUUAACAUGAAAUUGUGAGGACAACAGAGGAAGCAAUAAAUGUCAUUAGUCCUCAGGAAUGAAAGCAUUUCUAGAGAAACGUACUAGUCUAUGUUCUUCAUUUAUGAGCAGAAUAGUUUUCAUCUACUUUUUAAUAAAAGGUUAAUGUAUAAAAUGAAUGCUAUUAAAGGAAAGAAAAGCUAAGCAUUAUCAGGAAAGUUGAAGAAAAGAUUGCACCUAGAACAACUGAAGUAAACCAGCAAACCUAUUUUACAGCCUUUUCUAUAAAAUUUUGAAAUUCAUCAUCUUAAUGAAAGAACUGGAAAUAGUUUUUCCAAAUAGAAAUGGGUAAUGAUAAGGGAGGAAGUUUUAACAGUUAGAAAUAUUAUAGAAUGCAUUCUUUUACAUUUUUUCCCCAUAAAAAUGAGAGGAAGCUAAAAAACUUAUGGGUAUAGCUUUAAAUACUUUGGAUAAGAAGAUUUAUAGCAAUGUAAGGUUAUUGUUAGUAGUAGAAAUAACAUUAAUUUUUUAAAAAUAUUAGUAUUUGGAGCAGGACUAAAUACCAGUGAUCAUCCUUUUUGGUUUCUUGUGUUUGUGUAGGAGAUUCCUUUCAGACAGACAGUACCAGACCUCCUUAGGAGGGAAGCUGAUAAAGUAAUUUAGGUGGAAAGGUUUAAUGAGAUAAUGAUGCUAAGGCCAGUUAACAUCUAAUAAGAACAUAAUCAUGAGGGAUGAUAUUGUUGCUUAUUAAUUAUAAUGAUGCAGAGGAAAGAGACAAGGUGGCACUCAUUUAGCAGAGAGUACUCAGGAGUAAGACCGUUAUCCCAAAGGGGAAGUGUUGCAGUCAGAGUUAGAAGUAGGUCAACAUUUAGCAGAGUUUGAAAUUUAUGGCCGUUGGGUUAUACUAGCAACCACAGAACUGAAGGCCAGGCAGGAGGUAACAGAUGCCUUUCUGAUGGUGGCCAGGGAUGGAGUGGAGACUGCUGUGGUUGCUGGGCCAUGCACGGAGGCAGACUCCAGGGUGAGUUUUGGGAGCUGUCUGCUUGCCUUAGAUUCCACAGUGGUCAUUCGUGGGCAGACAGGCAGGUGUCCAGAACUGGACUGGAUGUGCUUCCAGUUCUGUGACCUUCCCCUCCACUCCACUGGGUCGGGUGAGUCAGACCCAAGGAUAGCUAUUCAGUCAGUGUUGGCGCCCAGCUUUGUUGAGGGAGCCCAGAAGAUCCUUUGGUCCUGUUUUUAGAGGCGCAGACCUAACUGUUAUCAGUUGAAUUGCAUUUAUGAUUCCUUGGUAUUAGUCACUAACCACAUUCCGCUUCCUGAAUUCAUUGCGGGUCUGGUCACCUCCAUGUUUGCCUAGGAUGGCAGAAUUGUAGUAUAAAUUUAUUGCAGAUACACUAAUGUCCAUAUUAGUCAGGUGGGCAGGAAUAAAGAAUUCGAGGAAGAAACAGCCAUGUGAAAAAAACAUGGAGCUUUUGGAAAUCUUGUGACUCCUCAAGGGAGGCAUAGAAGCUUGAAACAGAGGACUAGCCUGGGGAAGUUAAUUUGGGGCUGGGUAAGGAAUAUAAAAACUCUACCCCUUAUUCAGCACCUUUUCCCAAUAUGGGUCUCUCUCUGAGUCCUGGAUCCUAGGCUAUUGCUGACUCCUUUCUUGGGUCUUUGGAUGCCACCUCUGCAAUGAUAGGGAGGGGUUUUCUAUACCUUCUUGUAUAGUUAAUUUUAUUAGCUGGAUGAGGAUCACUUCACAGGAUUUU